rnacentral:rRNA from 1 species
GACGAACGCUGGCGGCGUGCUUAACACAUGCAAGUCGAACGGAAAGGCCCUGCUUUUGUGGGGUGCUCGAGUGGCGAACGGGUGAGUAACACGUGAGUAACCUGCCCUUGACUUUGGGAUAACUUCAGGAAACUGGGGCUAAUACCGGAUAGGAGCUCCUGCUGAAUGGUGGGGGUUGGAAAGUUUCGGCGGUUGGGGAUGGACUCGCGGCUUAUCAGCUUGUUGGUGGGGUAGUGGCUUACCAAGGCUUUGACGGGUAGCCGGCCUGAGAGGGUGACCGGCCACAUUGGGACUGAGAUACGGCCCAGACUCCUACGGGAGGCAGCAGUGGGGAAUAUUGCACAAUAGGCGGAAGCCUGAUGCAGCAACGCCGCGUGCGGGAUGACGGCCUUCGGGUUGUAAACCGCUUUCGCCUGUGACGAAGCGUGAGUGGCGGUAAUGGGUAAAGAAGCACCGGCUAACUACGUG